GACCGCUUAGCUCAGUGGUAGAGCGUGUGAUUCCAGUGCUUGCUGCUUACGUAAGCGGUGUCCACAAGGCCAUCCGUUCAACUCGGGUAGUGGUCA